GGGGCAUUAGCUCAGCUGGGAGAGCGCUUGCAUGGCAUGCAAGAGGUCAGCGGUUCGAGCCCGCUAUGCUCCA
rfam:Pontibacillus litoralis JSM 072002 contig3, whole genome shotgun sequence.